UACGAAGGGGGCUAGCGUUGCUCGGAAUUACUGGGCGUAAAGGGAGCGUAGGCGGAUAGUUUAGUCAGAUGUGAAAGCCCAGGGCUCAACCUUGGAAGUGCAUCUGAAACUGAUGAGCUAGAGUUCACGGAGAGGGUGGUGGAAUUCCCAGUGUAGAGGUGAAAUUCGUAGAUAUUGGGAGGAACACCGGUGGCGAAGGCGACCACCUGGACGGAAACUGACGCUGAGGCGCGAAAGCGUGGGUAGCAAACAGG
rnacentral:rRNA from 1 species